rnacentral:lncRNA from 1 species
CAAAUUAAUGCAGUUUAUAAAAGAAAGACUAUCCGUAAUCCAAACUAUGGUUCUCACGCAGCAAUAUCAGUUACUCCAACAACAUGCUGAGCCAUCAGCUGAGACAAUGCAGGAAUCCGAGCACAUGGAUCAAUGGAUAUAAGAUUAUAUCCAUGAUAUAGAAAAGGGGGGAAUGAAGGACCCCAAGGCCCCAGGCCCAACAUUAGGAAAUCUAACCCCUGUGCCCUGAAGCUGCAAGAUGUUCUCUUACACAACCCCCAUGUCAAAACCCCACCAGCUGCACGUAGCAUUUCAAGUCUUGCACAAUGCCACCACAAGAUGUUCCAUAUAGAUAACCCCGGAAGGGCCAAACUUGAGCAAACAGGGUAAAAACAGGAACUAAACAGGGUAAAAACAGGAACUAAAAGGACAGGAUGCAAUUUUAUGGUUUUUCCGAGAACUAAAGUGGAAAAACAAGUUUACCCCCCAGGUGACCUAAAGGCUGGAUUCAGAGGAACCAAUAGAAUAACUGUUACUGUGCUAAGCUAAAAACUAACCCCCUGCUCUCUAUAAAAGAUCUGUGCCCUAGAGCCCGGUGUGCCAGUCACCAAAGCUCCGGCUGAGGU